UACGUAGGUGGCAAGCGUUGUCCGGAUUUACUGGGCGUAAAGAGCGCGCAGGCGGUCGUCCAAGUCGCGUGUGAAAGCCCCCGGCUCAACUGGGGAGGGUCACGCGAUACUGGUCGACUCGAAGGCAGGAGAGGGUAGUGGAAUUCCCGGUGUAGUGGUGAAAUGCGUAGAUAUCCGGAGGAACACCAGUGGCGAAGGCGACUUCUCGCCUGUUCUUGACGCUGAGGCGCGAAAGCUAGGGGAGCAAACGGG
rnacentral:rRNA from 1 species